AGUGCUGGUGGAAGGAACCAGAACCGUACUUCUGAACAGUUAACGGAACAGAGGGAACUGAGGAAAACUUCUGAUGUCACAGUCAGGUACAAGACCCAGGUGGCGUCCUGUGAAGAACGUGAAGCCAUACCACACGCAGAAAAAAGUUGACAACCCCACAAGUAAAGAAGAAAGUACACAGACGUGAACUAUGCAGAGAUUAUAACUCAUACCUGCAAUCUCUUGUUUUCAUUGCUAAAACUGUGAACUUUAGGUUUUGUCACUUUAAAGAGUAUGAAAAAAGAGACUAUCAUAAAGCUCUUUUGGCAAAUAAUCCUCACAUUCUUAUUUUAAAGAAGGCACGAAGUACCUUUGUGCCUCAUCAUUAGGUGAUGUUCAAACAAGAUUGAGAAAAUAUAAAAGAAUAUUUGUAGAAAUCAUUUAAAAAAUUAAAAUUUAAGAAAAGAAUCUUUUGCCAAAGGAUAGCUUUAAAGAAACAUGACGUUUAAUCAGA